rnacentral:rRNA from 1 species
GACGAACGCUGGCGGCGAUGCUUAACACAUGCAAGUCGAACGGACUGAGUUCCCUUCGGGGAUGAAAGUUAGUGGCGAACGGGUGAGUAAUGUAUGAGCAACCUGCCUCUGUCAACGGGAUAACAGUUGGAAACGACUGAUAAUACGGUAUAUGACCACGGCACCGCAUGGUGCUGCGGUAAAAGAUUUUAUCGGACAGAGAUGGGCUCAUAUCCCAUUAGGUAGUUGGUGAGAUAACAGCCCACCAAGGCGACGAUCGGUAGCCGGACUGAGAGGUUGAACGGCCACAUUGGGACUGAGACACGGCCCAG